UUUCAUGUCAAAUCAGGUUUAGGAAUUUUGCAGAUCAAAGCGGGGCGGGGGUGGGGGCGUAGCGGCAAGGAGAGGACAGCUUCCCCAGCACUUGCUUGGGCGGCUGCCGAGCCCUGACAGGAAGACUCACGGCUCUGCCUGCAACCGAGUCCCGGGAAUUGUGUAUGUCUUGAGAAGCAGUUUGAGUGGCAUGUAUUUAAGACAAUCCAUUCAUAUUUGAGCAAACUUAUGCAAUUCAUAUCUCCCAGAUGUCAGCUUGAACAGGAGGUAAGAAGAAUGGUAAUGCCUCACACUCAUUUCAGAUAAAAAUCAUGGAUAAUUAUGUAUUUACACAUUAAUUUAUGUCACAGAAGGAUGUCGAGUGAGAAAAUAGGAUAUCUACACUCUGCAGUUAAGGGCAUAGAUUGUUAGACACUUCCAGGAAGGGCGAUUUGGAAAUGCAUAUGCAAAAGCUGAGAAAUAUUCAUGAUCCUUGACUCAUCAAUUUUUCAAUGAAAUAAGAAGAUAAAAGAUUAUAUAACUUAUUUAUUAUGUUAGCAUUGUGUUUACAAUAAUGAUAUUUCAUAUUGAGACUACAGAGGCAAAAUAGAGGAAUUUAUAGGAAUUCAUUCACACAAUAGAAUAGUUUGCAGCAUCCUUGAGUGUAAUUAUGAUUUAUAAUUGCUUAAAUGGAAAUAUAUUUUUUAAUGAUAACAUAAGAUUAUCAAAUAGUAUUUAAAGUAUGAUCCCAUUUUGGUAAUAAUAUAGUCUUUUUCACUUUCUGGUUCAUAUGAAUGAAAAUUCUUUUGAAGAAUUGAAUGAUAUUUAAAAUUUUGUCCUUCGCCUUAAAUUUUUAUUUCUCCUGGUCUUUCUCCAUAUGUUUCUGGACUAUAAUGUCAUGAAACACUGUUAUAGAUUAAGAUUAAUAAAUUGUAUGGGUGUGUUUCAGCUAUAUGUUGCUGCAUAAAAAAUGUAGUAACUGAAAUAAAUAAUUUACUCUUUUUAAAGAUUCUUUGACAUUUUGUUUUACAUAGUGUCGAGUGAUGGGAUGACUAGAAAAUCUAAGAUGUCCACAUAGUGUGGACACGGGUGGGAGCUG
rnacentral:lncRNA from 1 species